GGAAAUAGAGCACUGGCACCAACUUUUAACAAGUUGGCACUUUGCGUUCUUGAGAUCCUUUGCCAGCACAAGUUCACAGGAUGCCACUCCAGGAUUUUCAGUGGUGCGUGGCAGCAUCGUGGCCCUGGGCAAAACUGCAAAGUAGGUAAAGUGUAUCUUUGCAGCGUUCUCCUCCUCUGUCUUUCCUGACCUUCCCCCGAAUUUUCUGGAGCCCGUCUCAUCUAUUCCCAGGAUCCCCGGGCUGUCUCCUAGCGCCCAUUGAGGCCUGACCUCUGUGAUGCUCCAAGUUCCAAACUCAGCCUCCUCCCCCACUGCUGAAGAAAGUUUUGUUCCUCUGUUCCCAUGGUCUAACCUAGGAGGAAUGCAGGCUAAUAACAAUAUCCUACAUUCAGAUUCUGGAAAUAUGCAGAGCACCGUGCUACAAGGACUUAAAAAAUAUACUGGCUUUCUUUAUUUAGUGCCUUCAUUUACACAGAAUUACCUCUUGCAUAUCUUUCUGUGCUAAUGGUUCCAAAAGAUAGUCAUCAGUGAGCAGAGGUCCAUGGACAACUCAUCUGAUUAUCAGCGACUGGAGCAGAAGUGUCUCCUCGAGCUAUACUUUGGGCUUAUAAAGUUAUCUGUCUUGAACUGGAAGAUCUAAAAAGACCUUGUUCUGCUGCUUCCUGUGGAUGAAGGAGUACUCGUCUUCCCUGACACCAAAGGGAGAAUGAAGAGCUCUGUCUCCUACUGCGAUUUCAAGCGACCUUCCUUUCACAAGAGUUAAACCAUGUGAGGUUUAACUCCAAGUAUGUAUUCAGCAUUAAUAAAAUAUA